rnacentral:miRNA from 1 species
UAGCUUUUUAGUUUUCACG